UGGAUUGUGGCUCAGUGGCAGAGCACUUACCUCACAUGUAUGAGGCACUGGGUUUGAUCCUCAGCACCACAU
rfam:Ictidomys tridecemlineatus contig102174, whole genome shotgun sequence.